UACUGUCAAAAAUAGGAGCACUGAAAAAGGAACUAUCCUCAGUACAUUACCUUGGAUCCGAACAGGCUGAGAAAGAAGCAAGUUGUUGUGGGAUAAAAUAAUUAUAUGAUAUCACCUUAUAAUUUUUCAAUUUAUGAUUGUACUACCUGCGUAUUAGAUAUCGAAAGUUCUUUUAAUAUUUAUAAUUCAUUGCAGGAUCUGCGGGUC
rnacentral:lncRNA from 1 species